AGGAUGCGAGCGUUAUCCGGAUUUAUUGGGUUUAAAGGGUGCGUAGGCGGCCUGUUAAGUCAGCGGUGAAAUCUAGGAGCUUAACUCCUAAAUUGCCAUUGAUACUGGCGGGCUUGAGUGUAGAUGAGGUAGGCGGAAUGCGUGGUGUAGCGGUGGAAUGCAUAGAUAUCACGCAGAACUCCGAUUGCGAAGGCAGCUUACUAAGGUACAACUGACGCUGAAGCACGAAAGCGUGGGUAUCAAACAGGAUUAGAUACCCUGGUAGUCCACGCAGUAAACGAUGAUAACUGGGCGUAUGCGAUAUACAGUAUGCUCCUAAGCGAAAGCGUUAAGUUAUCCACCUGGGGAGUACGCCGGCAACGGUGAAACUCAAAGGAAUUGACGGGGGCCCGCACAAGCGGCGGAGCAUGCGGAUUAAUUCGAUGCAACGCGAAGAACCUUACCUACUCUUGACAUCCAGA
rnacentral:rRNA from 1 species